rnacentral:rRNA from 1 species
CGGUGUUUAACUGGCGUGAUGUGGGACGUCCUACCGGUGGGCUUAGCCUCGCGAGGGGCGGCCCAACUAAUAUCCCGUCGCGGUGCUCUUUACUGAGUGUCGAGUCGGGCCGGUACUUUUACUUUGAACAAAUUAGAGUGCUUAAAGCAGGCUAUCCUCGCCUGAAUACUGCGUGCAUGGAAUAAUGGAAUAGGACCUCGGUUCUAUUUUGUUGGUUUUCAGAACCCCGAGGUAAUGAUUAAUAGGGACAGAUGGGGGCAUUCGUAUUGCGACGUUAGAGGUGAAAUUCUUGGAUCGUCGCAAGACGGACAGAAGCGAAAGCAUUUGCCAAAAAUGUUUUCAUUAAUCAAGAACGAAAGUUAGAGGUUCGAAGGCGAUCAUAUACCGCCCUAGUUCUAACCAUAAACGAUGCCAGCUAGCGAUCCGCCAAAGUUCCUCCGAUGACUCGGCGGGCAGCUUCCGGGAAACCAAAGCUUUUGGGUUCCGGGGGAAGUAUGGUUGCAAAGAUGAAAAUUAAAGGAAUUGACGGAAGGGCACCACCAGGAGUGGAGCGCGCGGGUUAAUUUGACUCAACACGGGAAACCUCACCAGGCCCAGACACCGGAAGGAUUGACAGAUUGAUAGAUCUUUCUUGAUUUGGUGGGUGGUGGGGCAUGGCCGUUUUUAGUUGGUGGAGAGAUUUGUCUGGUUAAUUCUGAUAACGAACGAGACUCUAGCCUGCUAAAUAGGCGUACCUUAUGGUAUCGCGAAGGCCCCCGGCUUCGGCCGGUGGGUUUUUACUACCAACGUACAAACAAAUCUUUUUAGAGGGACAGGCGG